rnacentral:lncRNA from 1 species
CUUUCUUGAGCACCUACUCGAUGCUGCACGCUCCGCUGGGCCUGGGGAUGGACAGAGGAACAGGACAGGGCUCUGUUUCUGAGAAGCUUCCCUUCCGCGGUGGAGAGGGUCCAGGGAACGUCAGUGAUGGCUCAGGGGACAGAGGAGGAGCAGGAGGCUGACAGAACCCAAAGCCAAUGUCCCCUGUGCUGCCUGGAAUGGCAGUCGUGAAGACGGGGCUGAGUGACCCUGGAAUCCAAGUCUGGGCACUUGUGUUUCCGUGAGGCAGGAAGCUCAGGCUGCCAGCCACAGUCCUGAACUCCCUUUCUCACGCUACCCACUGUUCUCAAGGCUCCAAAGUUGGGUUCAGAGCCUGCUUUCCCCGUCGUGAAGAAAGACCCAGAGGAGCUCUGGCUGAAGAGACCUCAGCCCGGCAAGGGAGAGGCACGUGGAGGGAGCAGAUGGGCACUGGAGGCCCCUGCCCAGCAGGAUGUGGUCAAUUGUGUUUGCUUCUGGGCCUGGGUUCUGGAUUCACGACUACCUCUCCCUGGUGGGUUCAUGUAUUGAGGGGUCCUCGGUGCAGGAAAUGGCCAGGGCAAAGACCCCGGGGUCUAAAGGAUUCACACGUCCCAAACUGGGGGGAGAAGAGUGUUGGUGCACUCGGACGAAGUAAGGCCAGAGAUGGGCCUGCAGGAAGAUUCUGGACCCCCUUGGAGGGCAACGUGAAGGCACCGAAGGGUCUUUAGUAGGGUGAUGACAAGAUGACAACACUUACAUUUUUAAAAAUUCCCCUCUUGCUGUUGAGGGAGACUGGAUUGGAGAUAAACGUCCAGACCAGUGCCGUCCCAAAGAGCUUCAGUGACAAUGGACGAGGUCCGGCCUGUGCGAUUCAAUAGGACGGCCAUUCAUCCCACGUGGCCACAGAAUCGAUGUGACGCGGCUGGCAUGACCGAGGGAGGGGCUGAGCUUGGCUCAUGGGAACUUUAACGGCCUCAAGUGACUGGUGGCCAUCCUAUCGGACACAGCUUCACACCCUUCUCUAGAAAUGGGGAAGCGGAGACUUUGACCCCAAGUCCCUGCUGACACCGACCUUUCUCACCUCUAAUUUCAUCAGGUGCACACUGAGGAGUAGAAUGGCUGGGUCCAAGGGAAGGCCCACUUUUUUGUUCCUAUUUCCAAAGUGCUUUCCAGAGAAGGUCUCCCGCCCGUCCUUUCCCUGUGGUGGUGCACAGCCUCUGUCCCUUCGGCUCACUGAAGCCGGUGCCAGGUGCCAUCCUUCUGUUUGGUUUCUCUGUAGCUCCUCCUCUG